rfam:Tupaia chinensis contig52302, whole genome shotgun sequence.
CGUAAUGCUGGGCUAUAAUCUCUGAAACUGAGCCCCAGAUCCAGCCAAUCAUUUAGCUCCUCAUAACAAGUCUAACUGGCUCUGGAAAGCUGAAAGGACUGUACUGGAACAACACAGAUGAGAUAUUCCCCACAAUAAUCUGCUUAUCUGGAAUCACUGUGCCUCAAAAGGACAGAGAAAAUUUACAGCUUCAUUGUCUGAGGGAAGGACAGGUGACUGGGAAACACAACAGCACCCAGAGCAA